rnacentral:piRNA from 1 species
AAUAGUAGGUGCUAUGUCAGGCU